CUCCCUACGGGACGCAACAGUAGGGAAUCUUCCACAAUGGACGAAAGUCUGAUGGAGCAACGCCGCGUGAGUGAAGAAGGGUUUCGGCUCGUAAAGCUCUGUUGGUAGUGAAGAAAGAUAGAGGUAGUAACUGGCCUUUAUUUGACGGUAAUUACUUAGAAAGUCACGGCUAACUACGUUCCAGCAGCCCCGGUAAUACGUAGGUGGCAAGCGUUGUCCGGAUUUCUUUGGCGUUAAGC
rnacentral:rRNA from 1 species